rnacentral:rRNA from 1 species
GACGAACGCUGGCGGCGUGCUUAACACAUGCAAGUCGAACGAAGUGGCGAACGGGUGAGUAACGCGUAAUCAACCUGCCCUUCAGCGGGGGAUAACAGUUGGAAACGACUGCUAAUACCGCAUACUGAAGGAGGGGAUUGCGUAUGAUUAGCUAGUUGUAGGGGUAACGGCCCACCAAGGCGAUGUUCAGUAGCCGGUCUGAGAGGAUGAACGGCCACAUUGGGACUGAGACACGGCCCAGACCCCUACGGGAGGCAGCAGUUGGGAAACUUCCGCAAUGGACGAAAGUUUGACGGAGCAACGCCGCGUGAGUGAUGACGGCCUUCGGGUUGUAAAGCUCUGUUAAUCGGGACGCGGUACCGGAAUAGAAAGCCACGGCUAACUACGUGCCAGCAGCCGCGGUAAUUC